GACGAACGCUGGCGGCGUGCUUAACACAUGCAAGUCGAACGGUGAAGCGCCUUCCUUUUUGGUGGGUGUGGAUGAGUGGCGAACGGGUGAGUAACACGUGAGUAACCUGCCCCCUUCUUCUGGAUAACCGCAUGACAGUGUGGCUAAUACGGGAUAUUUUGGGUCUGUCGCUUGAUGGGUCUGGGAAAGUUUUUGUUUCGGUGGGGGAUGGGUUCGCGGCUUAUCAGCUAGUUGGUGGGGUGAUGGCCUACCAAGGCGAUGAGGGGUAGCCGGCCUGAGAGGGUGGACGGCACCACGGGGGCGGAGAGACGGCCCAGACUCCGACGGGAGGCAGCAGGGGGGAAUAUGGCACAAUGGGCGCAAGCCUGAUGCAGCGACGCCGGGGGAGGGAUGGAGGCCGGCGCGUUGUGAACCUCUUUCGCGAGUGAAGCAGGCCUGCCUCGUUUGUGGGUGGGUUGACGGUAGCUGGAUAAGAAGCGACGGCUAACUACGUG
rnacentral:rRNA from 1 species